rnacentral:sRNA from 1 species
CACUAGCCCUGAUUGCAGUGUAAAUCCUGUUGUUGUGAGAUUGCCUCGCAAGCUCGCAAUGACAGAUUGCAAUGGAAAGCAGGAACAGGG